rnacentral:rRNA from 1 species
AGCGAACGCUGGCGGCAGGCCUAACACAUGCAAGUCGAACGAAGUCUUCGGACUUAGUGGCGGACGGGUGAGUAACACGUGGGAACGUGCCUUUAGGUUCGGAAUAACUCAGGGAAACUUGUGCCAAUACCGAAUGUGCCCUUCGGGGGAAAGAUUUAUCGCCUUUAGAGCGGCCCGCGUCUGAUUAGCUAGUUGGUGAGGUAAUGGCUCACCAAGGCUACGAUCAGUAGCUGGUCUGAGAGGAUGACCAGCCACAUUGGGCCUGAGACACGGCCCAAACUCCUACGGGAGGCAGCAGUGGGGAAUCUUGCGCAAGGGGCGAAAGCCUGACGCAGCCAUGCCGCGUGGAUGAUGAAGGUCUUAGGAUUGUAAAAUCCUUUCACCGGUGAAGAUAAUGACCGUAGCCGGAGAAGAAGCCCCGGCUAACUUCGUGCCAGCAGCCGCCGUAACAC